CCAUUCAGAAAACUAUGUUUUAUGUACUUUAUCUUGAAGACUAACCACAAACAAUGUUUUUCAUUGAAAAGCAUUGUUUGUGGUUAGUCUUCAAGAUAAUUAAUAAAAGUACAUAAAAAAGUUUUCUGAAUGG